ensembl:lncRNA
GAUUGGAAAAGUAGGUACAUGAGGAUGGAGUAUGUUGCUCGGCUGCACUAAAAAAGGUUAAUAUGAUAAGAAGAGAAGCUCUGCUUGGAGAAUCUUUCUCUGAAGUUUUUGGAUCCAGAUUUGGCCUAAUGAAGUGUGAGAAAGCAUCUGCAGAAGGACUGGAAACUGAGCAGAGGAAAAGUGACAUUUAAAGGCAGUUUUGAGCAUGAGAUGAUAUUUUGGAAGACAACAGAGCAUCAGGAGGAUUCUGGAAUUCUGUGGGAAAGGAAAAGUCCAAGAUUUCUACGAGAUGGAACAUUUUGUGCAGCUUUUUUCAGUUGAUUUUAAAAUGUUCUGUUAUAAAACAAAAUGAAAAAAAACCUCAACAUGGUAAAUAGAAUGUUUCUAUUU